GCGCCUGUAGCUCAACAGGAUAGAGCGUUGGCCUCCGGAGCCAAAGGUUGAAGGUUCGAGUCCUUCCAGGCGUA
rnacentral:tRNA from 1 species